GAUGCUAAGACCUCUCUUCAGGGCGGGGCUUCUUUGCUGCUUUCCUCUCAGGUCCCGUCUGCCUUUUUAAUAUGCUCCCGACUGGCGUGUGCAGGGAUGACCAGAGACAGCUGCUCCUGAAGAAACCUCCCCUCCUGCUGUAACUGCAGAUACCUCUGGUUAUAUUCGCAACUUUUCAGAAGGUACGAAGGAAAGCAGCUCCUGACAUCUGGGUACUGCCUUGACACUUCCAAGCUUCAGAGUUUUCAGAAGGUGAUCUGGAGCUGACUGCUGGGCAGUGGUAUUUUCCUGUUGGAUAAAAACAAUCUCACAAAGCUCCCAGAUCAGACAAGGUCAUUUAGUGACUGUGAAGAAGUGAGAGAAAGAAAGACUAUAUAAUGAGUUCGAUGCACACUGUCUGGGGGAUGGACA